UACGGGGGGAGCAAGCGUUGUUCGGAUUUACUGGGCGUAAAGGGCGCGUAGGCGGUCGUGACAAGUCACUUGUGAAAUCUCCGGGCUUAACUCGGAACGGUCAAGUGACACUGUCGGACUAGAGUACAGAAGGGGCAACUGGAAUUCUCGGUGUAGCGGUGAAAUGCGCAGAUAUCAGGAGGAACACCGGUGGCGAAGGCGGUUCUCUGGGCAUUACCUGACGCUGAGGAGCGAAAGUGUGGGGAGCGAACAGG
rnacentral:rRNA from 1 species